UACGGAGGGUGCAAGCGUUAUCCGGAUUCACUGGGUUUAAAGGGUGCGUAGGUGGGUUGGUAAGUCAGUGGUAAAAUCUCCGGGCUUAACUCGGAAACUGCCGUUGAUACUAUCAAUCUUGAAUAUCGCGUAGGUAAGCGGAAUAUGUCAUGUAGCGGUGAAAUGCUUAGAUAUGACAUAGAACACCAAUUGCGAAGGCAGCUUACUUCACGAUCAUUGACACUGAGGCACGAAAGCGUGGGGAGCAAACAGG
rnacentral:rRNA from 1 species